UGGAUUAGGCAUGCAAGUCGAGCGAGAAGGAUAUCAAAGUUUACUUUGAUAUCCGGAAAGCGGCGCAAGGGAGAGUAACGCGUAGUUAUCUACCCCAAGGCCCGGAAUAGCUGCGGGAAACUGCAGGUAAUGCCGGAUAAUAUCCCCGGAUCAAAGGUGUGAUUCCGCCUUGGGAGGAGACUGCGUUGUACUAGCUUGUUGGUAGGGUAAUGGCCUACCAAGGCUACGAUGCAUAGCGGGCGUGAGAGCGUGGCCCGUCUCACUGGGACUGAAACACUGCCCAGACACCUACGGGUGGCUGCAGUCGAGAAUCUUCGGCAAUGGGCGAAAGCCUGACCGAGCAAUGCCGCGUGCGGGAUGAAGGCCCUCGGGUUGUAAACCGC
rnacentral:rRNA from 1 species